rnacentral:lncRNA from 1 species
UUUCUUUGUAUACAACAUUUGUUGUUUUAUUCGUGACACGACCAUCUUCAUCUAAUAUAAGCAGUUUAACUCCAUCUCUGCUUUUAACUCUUGAUAACGCCACAUACAAUUGUCCAUGCGUGAAAACCGGAUCUUUUAGAAACAACCCAACUCGAGAUAAUGAUUGUCCCUGGCUUUUAUUAAUAGUCAUUGCAAAACAUACUGAUACGUAGGUAUGUUGUAUAAGUUGAUGCUUGAGAUUGUUAUGCACAAUGAAGUGUAUUGUGUUCUGGGAUGGAGCCAUCUUCUGCUGCAAACAUAGACCUAUAAACAGCAGUUGUCGCUAGAGCGGUGUCCCUUUUUAAGAACUAAAUCCAUUCAUGCAAAAAAACAUACAUGUAAGUAUUAAAUGUAAUAGUUGAUCAGCUACAGGUGGAAAGCUACUCUUAUCCAAGUUAAUGAACGUGUAUGUGCGUUUAAUCUACACAUUCUUUGGAUAAAAGUGCUUC